rnacentral:rRNA from 1 species
AGUGGCGGACGGGUGAGUAACGCGUGGGAACCUGCCCUCAGGAGGGGGAUAACGGCUGGAAACGGCCGCUAAUACCCCAUAUGCCGAGAGGUGAAAAGAAUUUCGCCUGAGGAUGGGCCCGCGUCUGAUUAGCUAGUUGGUGGGGUAAGAGCCUACCAAGGCGACGACCAGUAGCUGGUCUGAGAGGAUGAUCAGCCACACUGGGACUGAGACACGGCCCAGACUCCUACGGGAGGCAGCAGUGGGGAAUUUUCCGCAAUGGGCGAAAGCCUGACGGAGCAACGCCGCGUGAGGGAUGAAGGCCUCUGGGCUGUAAACCUCUUUUCUCAAGGAAGAAGAACUGACGGUACUUGAGGAAUAAGCCACGGCUAAUUCCGUGCCAGCAGCCGCGGUAAUACGGGAGUGGCAAGCGUUAUCCGGAAUUAUUGGGCGUAAAGCGUCCGCAGGCGGCCUUGUAAGUCUGUCGUUAAAGCGUGGAGCUUAACUCCAUUUCAGCGAUGGAAACUACAAGGCUUGAGUGUGGUAGGGGCAGAGGGAAUUCCCGGCGUAGCGGUGAAAUGCGUAGAUAUCGGGAAGAACACCAGUGGCGAAGGCGCUCUGCUGGGCCAUAACUGACGCUCAUGGACGAAAGCCAGGGGAGCGAAAGGGAUUAGAUACCCCUGUAGUCCUGGCCGUAAACGAUGAACACUAGG